UGGAGCUAGGUCAAGGAUAUUUGCAUUUUUAAAGUUGGGUUAACAUCUGCAAGGUGUGUCACUGGCUCUUGAUAAGAGAAUCAAAGGGAAUUGGGUUAACCCACUCCUAACCCCUUUGCCCAGUUACUGCCAGCCCCACCAGCAGCCCUGCCCGGCUCCCGUUCCUCUUGUAGGCGGGGAGAGGGAUCACUAUCUCGCCCCUGCAGGGCUGGGCCCUCCACACUGACCCAGCCUCAGGCCAUCCUUCAUCCUCAGGAGCAAGACCUCAGGAGCUGCCUGAAAAUGGCUCUUUAUCUGGUUCAGUCCUCACCGGGACUUUAUUCUGUGCCUCUGGCCACUUGUUGCAAGAGCAAAUGUGUCCCAUACAGCACUGGGUGUGUUGCCACUGUCGGAGAAACCAGGAGAAUUCGGGGGCGAGAACAGCUAGGGGCCCGAGAAGUGAGCCUCCAACUGUGGGCCGGGCAGUGGGGCAUGUGGCAGUCAGGCGGGGUUCUGGGAUGCAGGCCUCCGCCUUCCGUGCAAGGCCCUGAAGAAUGUGCCCGCCUCAGACACAACAUCCCAGUUCAGUCCGCAUUAUGAGUCACCGCUGCGUGUCAGCUACCACCUGGGCAUUUGAACCACAGCAGCAAACACACAGGCAAAGACUUCUGCCCUCGAGGAGCUUGCGUUCUAUCGGGGAAGACAGAAAACAGACAGCAGAAAGGCCCACACAGGCAAUGAUAGGAGAGGUCAGAAGGGGGAUACGCGGUGGAGAAGAACUGAAAUAGAGUGCUGUGCUCAGGAGCCCCAGGCCAGAGACGCAGGAGGCAGUCUGGAACAGGCCACUGGGAGUGAGGCUUGUUGAAGUGACAGCAGUCUUUCUAGGGGAAGGGAAGAGGAGAGGGUGCAAAUGCCCUGAGGCAGCCGGCCUGUGGUAGCUAAGAAAGCAAGGAAGUUAGUGUGGCCACAGCAACACAGGGAGAGUCAAAGGAGAGGGGCAAGGUUGUAUAAGGUGGAAGCCAGGAGAGCACUUGGAGACUCUGUAAGAUGGAUGAAGGUGUCUGAGGCAGGGGAGCGGCCGCGGCGUGAAUCCAGCAGGACACACAGCGGGACCAAGAGCUUAGCCCAGGCCAGGCUCUAUUCCAAGAGCUUUGCCAGUAUUAAUUCACUUAAUGCUCACAUAGCCUUAUACAGCAUGUGCACUCAUGGUCCCGUCCUAUAGGUAAGGAUGCUGAGGCACAGAGAUGUGAAGGAACUCACCCCCGGUCACACAGCUGAAAGAUGGCAGAGUCUGGAUUUGAAGGCAAGUCAUCUGAAGCCAGAGCGCAGGCUCUUGAAGAGCCAUAAGUUUGGGACAAAAAAAAGUCACAACCUUCAUCCUGAGGGAGGACAUCUGUAAAGAAAAUAGAAGACUGAGUCCUCAUCAGAGAUGGGAAGCAACAGAGGCCCAGAAGGCCCUUGGCUUCUAUGCUGCAACUAUCUGUCUUGCCCUGAAGAGGAACUCCCGUGUCAGUCCACAGGCCUCCGAGCUUCUGACUCCCGCGUUCUGGAUGCCUGUCAACCACAUCUCCCGUUUUCGCACAUCCAGCCAUUAUUCCAGUAUUACCGCCUGGACUUUGUUGAUUUUUCUUUUUAUCUUCCUUGUCCACGUGCAACAGAUUUGAGGCCUUCUUCAUCUCAUCAAAUAACGAAAUCAGCCAUUUUCUGAUAUUUACUUCUCUUUCAAGUAAGAUAUUUAUCCCAAGGGGGGAACCAUUUUUUUUCCCCUGCUCUCAUUGAAAUUCAUCAAAACUUUGGAACGAUGCUAUGCCUUGGGAUCGGCCUUUCCAGGUGACUUCAUCUGUAUUCGUGCCUUGUCUGCCGUCUUUUUGCCAGUGACUUGUAAAUUUCCGUCUCCUGCUGGGACCUCUCCCCUGAAUUCCCAUCUUUUGCACCCAGCCACCUGUUUGUAGCUCCACAUGAAUGUCUCUGAAACACCACCAACCCUCGGUGAUUGCUCUCCCUUGACCCCAGCAGGCUCACCCCUACUAUCUGUGGAACCCGGGGUGAGAGGGAAACAGAGGCGCCGUCUACCUGCUUCUCCUCCUGUCCCAGAUCCGUCCAGAGCUUCAGGGCUAGCACACACGUGCAUGAACACUGGGGCCCACGCUCUGUCCACACCCACAUCCACAUCCACAAACAGCACCCUUGCUUUUCCUGGGCCUCAGGGCGCACACUCCUGUGAUGCACCCUCCCUCCUGGAGGGGCAGGUCUGGGGCCAGGCUCCAAGUCAUCUGGGCGGGGAACUCUGAGGUCCAGAUCCUGAAGAGUCACCCCAACACCCUCUUCCUGGCCCCACAGCCGACCAUCUACCCGGUCCUCUAGAUUUUCUUUCAGCCUCUCCCUCCCUAGUCCCUGGGUUUGUCCAUACCACCUCCCUCUCAUCCAGAGGCCAGAGCCACGGCUCUUCCCACAUGUGCUCUUGUCUGCUCCAAUCCAUCCCAACUUUUGAAAGAUGUUAAUGAGCUGAAGUCCCCAGGUGAGUGGUCUCCCCUUGCACAACACAGACUCCAUCCACCCCCUGCGGCCACCCCACACCCCCCCUUGCUCUCAAGGUCAGCCCAUUGACCACGGCAAGUGCGACGUCAUCCCUCCGGGUCUCCCGUCCAGACGUAGAGCUGCCUCUCCAUCCCUUGAGUCUGGGCUGGCCUGUGACUCACCUUGGUCCACAGAACGUGGCAGCAGUGAGGUUGUGCCCCUCUGAGCCUGGGCUUCCUAAGGCCCUGCAGCUCCCACCCACACCCCUGCCCGGCUUUGGCGGGACAGGCCCCGGCUGGCCCACAGGGGAGCAGGGAGGAGCCCUCUCACACCCAGGACCUCCGAGGCCCCCAGCUCCAACAACCUGCCCGCUGACCUCAGACAUGCAAGCAAGCCCUGCCGGGCCCAGGUGGAGAGUCACAGAAUCACAAGCAAAUUCAGUGGCUGUUGUUUUAAGCACUACAUUUUGGGGCCGUUUGUUAUAGGGCAAAAGCUGACGGAAACUUCCACGUAGUUCUUUGAGCUCCCCGGGGCCUUCCUGACCUCUGGCCUUUCACGUGGGUCACUGCCCCUCUGGGUCCUGCUUCAUCCUGAUUUGCUGGCUCGGCUCUGCCUCAGCCUUCCGACUUGGGCUUUCCCGCUGUCCCUGUCCCCAACCCCUCUGCUCCUCAGAGCCCCAUCAUCCCUGCCACCUCUCUGCCCUCCUCCUCCCCGCCUCAGCUUCACCCUCUCCAGCUCACAUGGACCCUGGAGGGGCCUCCCUCUAGUGCUUCUCCUGUCCACGAAGCCCUUUGCUCACUCCCUGUGACAGUCAUCAUCUGAUUCACAUCUCUCUGCCCUAAGGGGCCAUGAGCUCCAUGUGGACAGAGACCACCGCAGACCUCCAGUUCCUGCCACGUGCCCGGCAGAUAGUAGGAGCUCAGUACACGUUUGCUGGGUGAAUAAAUGACUGAACAAAUGA